CAGCCCAGACCACAGGAUAAGGCGCCUAACAGAUUGCUAAGGCGAAAGGUGUAUAAUCAAUAAAUUAUGUGGGUGGUGGGUUUAAAGGCUGAUCAUCCAUUAAAGAAAGCGUAGCAGCACACCACAUAUAUAAGCAGCGUGUUUUGUACUGCAGUUGAUUAUAAGCCAAUUUAUUUAGAGGCAUUUGAGCAAUCGGCCGAAGCCGUGGGCAGCACGCGUAAACAUCACACAAAUUGUUGCGUGUAAAAUACCAUGCACAGAUUGUUGAUUGCUGCAAUAAAAGCUAUUAUGUAGACAAUUACACAAAGGCGCAAAUAUACAAAGCACAGCGGCUUAAAUAAGACAGCUGUACUAGUUGGCUUGAUACUGUACAAAUUGUUUGUUUUGCAGCCGAGCUUGCAACAAUAUAACCGUAAGCUGGUAUUUUGUUAUAUGUGCAGUAAUGCACCAUUACUUUAUACAAGUGCGCGUGUAUUGUGGCUUUGUAUGCUGCACGUUUGUAAUGUCAAACUAAAACUUUUAAUGUAAGUCGCUUUGCUGUCACACCCGUGCUAAACAAAAGCUUUUGCUAAGGAACAAGAAAAAUGUAUACUUUGCAUGAAGCUGGGUGCUAAUCAUGGUUUGUGAUGCUACAUAAACAAGUGUGCAUGUGUUGCGCGUUGCUGCGGUAGCGGAGCGUUUCGUAGGUUGGAGAAGCGGCAUUGAAAAAUGCUGUGGAAAUAUCGAAAGUGAUGAUGCUGGGAUUAGUAACGUAUUUUGGUGAAAUACCAAAAAGCCUUAUGCCAAAGGGUUUCGAACAAGCAGGCCACAAGCCUAUAGUUUGUAGUGCUACGAUAAACGACGCAGUAAAAUACAGCCCUUCAGUUAUUAGCGAAUGCUGAUGUUACAAGGGGGUUGCACGCUAAAAUUUGCCUUGUUAAAAUGCUUAAGGUAGCAGUUUAGCAAAGCAGAUCUGGAAAAAACGUGCUAGUUUAACUGUACCGAAAUCCGACACUGGUUGGCUGGUUGAAUAAACCAAGGCUACGAGUGAAUGUUAUCGAAGGAACUCGACCAAUUAGCCCCGUAACUUUUUGAAGAGGGGGUGCCGAUAUGGUAGAAUUUAAGAAGGAGCGGCGACUGUUUAUCAAAAACACAAGACCCUGCUAAAUUUAAUAAUG
rnacentral:rRNA from 1 species